UUAAGUUAUUAAGGGCGUAUGGUGGAUGCCUUGGCACUAGGAGCCGAUGAAGGACGUGACUAACUGCGAUAUGCUUCGGGGAGUUGUAAGUAAACUAUGAUCCGGAGAUUUCCGAAUGGGGAAACCUAACAGGUUUUACCGCCUGUUAUCACUAAGUGAAUUCAUAGCUUAGUUGAAGGUAGACGUGGGGAACUGAAACAUCUAAGUACCCACAGGAAGAGAAAGAAAUUCGAUUCCCUCAGUAGCGGCGAGCGAACCGGGAAGAGCCCAAACUAAGAAGCUUGCUUCUUAGGGUUGUAGGACUGAACAUCUGAGUUACCAAGAAAUGAAGUAGUUGAAUAAUCUGGGAAGAUUAGCCAAAGAGAGUGAUAGCCUCGUAAGCGAAACUUUGUUUCCUCAGUUCAGGAUCCUGAGUACGGCGGAACACGUGAAACUCCGUCGGAAUCCGGGAGGACCAUCUCCCAAGGCUAAAUACUACCUAGUGACCGAUAGUGAACCAGUACCGUGAGGGAAAGGUGAAAAGCACCCCGGGAGGGGAGUGAAAUAGUUCCUGAAACCAUAUGCCUACAAGUAGUCAGAGCUCGUUAAUGAGUGAUGGCGUGCCUUUUGUAGAAUGAACCGGCGAGUUACGUUAGCGUGCGAGGUUAAGGAGGAAAGUCCGGAGCCGUAGCGAAAGCGAGUCUGAAUAGGGCGAGAUAGUACGUUGACGUAGACCCGAAACCAGGUGACCUACCCAUGUCCAGGUUGAAGGUGCGGUAAAACGCACUGGAGGACCGAACCCGUGUAUGUUGAAAAAUGCUGGGAUGAGGUGUGGGUAGAGGUGAAAUUCCAAACGAACUUGGAGAUAGCUGGUUCUCUCCGAAAUAGCUUUAGGGCUAGCCUCGGAGUUAAGAAUCGUGGAGGUAGAGCACUGUUUGGACUAGGGGCCCGUCUUGGGUUACUGAAUUCAGAUAAACUCCGAAUGCCACAGAUUUAUAUCCGGGAGUCAGACUGCGAGUGAUAAGAUCCGUAGUCGAAAGGGAAACAGCCCAGACCACCGAUUAAGGUCCCAAAAUAUGUGUUAAGUGGAAAAGGAUGUGGAAUUGCAUAGACAACUAGGAUGUUGGCUUAGAAGCAGCCACCAUUUAAAGAGUGCGUAAUAGCUCACUAGUCGAGUGAUCCUGCGCCGAAAAUGUAACGGGGCUAAACACAUUACCGAAAUCGUGGAUGUACCUUAGGGUACAUGGUAGGAGAGCGUUCUAAGGACGGCGAAGCUAGACCGUAAGGACUGGUGGAGUGCUUAGAAGUGAGAAUGCCGGUAUGAGUAGCGAAAGAUCAGUGAGAAUCUGGUCCACCGUAUGACUAAGGUUUCCUGGGGAAGGCUCGUCCUCCCAGGGUUAGUCGGGACCUAAGCCGAGGCCGAGAGGCGUAGGCGAUGGAUAACAGGUUGAGAUUCCUGUACUGGUUAAACUUGUUUGAACAAUGGAGGGACGCAGGAGGCUAUCGAUGCGUACUGUUGGAUAUGUACGUUCAAGCAAUAAGUCUGUAGAUGAGUCAAAUGCUUAUCUACUUAAGGACAAGUUGUGAUGAGGAGCGAAAUUUAGUAGCGAAGUGAGAGACGUCACACUGCCAAGAAAAGCUUCUAGUUAGAGUUUAAUCACCCGUACCGCAAACCGACACAGGUAGUCGAGGCGAGUAGCCUAAGGUGAGCGAGAGAACUCUCGUUAAGGAACUCGGCAAAAUGACCCCGUAACUUCGGGAGAAGGGGUGCUGAGCGCAAGCUCAGCCGCAGUGAAUAGGCCCAGGCGACUGUUUAUCAAAAACACAGGUUUCUGCAAAAUCGUAAGAUGAAGUAUAGGGGCUGACGCCUGCCCGGUGCUGGAAGGUUAAGAGGAUGGGUUAGCGUAAGCGAAGCUCAGAAUUGAAGCCCCAGUAAACGGCGGCCGUAACUAUAACGGUCCUAAGGUAGCGAAAUUCCUUGUCGGGUAAGUUCCG
rnacentral:rRNA from 1 species